GCACCUAAAUAAAUAAAUUUUGGAGCAGUCAUAGUCAUAGUGAUGAUUGUGUUCGCACCAGAAGCAUGAGACAUGUGGUGCCCUUCUGGUGCGUGGUUCUGUUUUCGCUCGGAACACAGUUAAGACCAGCGAAAGCAUUCGUCAAGCUCCUACCAGUUGGCCAGAAAGUAGAGUUUAGAAGCAAUGUGCAAAGCAUCACUGUUUCGCACACCUUUCACCGUUCAGAAUCGCCGAUUAAUCAGCUGCUUGAGCUAGAGGUGAAUUUCACACGCACCAUCAAGGAUUUAAAGCUGCAGUUCAGUUAUUAUAUCACACACCCGAACGGUUCGAUUCAGACGACCCUCACAAAACGUACGGUCGACUUAUGUUUCUACUUUCGGAACUCAAAUUCCGAUCGGGUCGUGAAGCUGAUGUACGAUUACACCCGCGAGCGGACCAACUUACCGCUCCAGUGUCCCAUCAUGCCGGGCAGCUACCACGUGCGACAUAUCCGGCCGGCCGACGUUCCUCUGCCGGCCUUUCUGCCCGAAGCUUACGUCCUGUUCGAAGCGCUCUAUCGGUCCGCGGUACGGCGGGAAACUUUGUUCGAGUUUCGGUUCUACGUUAAAUUGGUACGCUUCGUAGAAAACAUUUUCUAGAACACUUGGUAAAUCAAAACAUAAACGUAAUAAAAAUUUGAAACAAACAAUUGCAAAUAACAAAAUGUCUAAAAUGUUAACAUAAUUUUGAAAUUCCUCAUUUUGAAGUGGUGAACUACUGAUACUAAACCUAAAAUCACCAAUUAACUCAAACAAUUUACUACGUACGCUUCAACGCCAUCACCUAAACCCACAGGUACACUAAUCAUUUUGUUAUUUUUUUAGAACAUUUUUUAGUACAACUGUGAUUGAACAGUGAUAAUGUUUAAUUAUUCGGGAUAUCGCCAAGGCACCACGUGAAACAUCCGCCCCAAAGAGGAAAAAAACCGUUCACUGUAGUCUAGCGUACGCUCUUAACAGCGAACGUUGCGUCCCUUUGCUGAGAUGUUCAGAUUUUGCUUGAUUUUAAUUACAAUUUUUCUACUACUCAGCAUCAGCGAGAUGAACUGUUUCAUAACAAUUAUACCGGUUGUGGAUAAAAUGGUUUGUAAGUUUAACGAUCGUUUCAUCAAUGCCACAUUCACGUUGGAGCAACCGGAAUCCGUCACCAAUCAAAGUGUUUCGUUUGAGUUUCAAAUGGUACGUGAAAUAAAGGAUCUGAAGGUGAGAAUAGAUGCUGUUCCAUGUUAGUAGUCGGUUUGCUACAAGUGGUAAGCUAAGCUACCGAUAGGUGGCGCUCAUUUUAUAGCAUUUGUUAGGUUAGUGAAUAUAUGAAAAGCAUACGAGUUGAGUAGGCUCUGUUAAAACAAAAACAGCCUUGCUAGGUUCAGUUAUGACCGUUGCAAUACUUAUGACCAGA